rnacentral:rRNA from 1 species
GACGGAGGGUGCAAGCGUUGUUCGGAAUUACUGGGCGUAAAGGGCGCGUAGGCGGUCUGUUAAGUUCGGUGUGAAAGCCCCCGGCUCACCUGGGGAACUGCGCCGGAAACCGACAGACUCGAGUACCGGAGAGGAGGGUGGAAUUCCUGGUGUAGCGGUGAAAUGCGUAGAUAUCAGGAGGAACACCGGUGGCGAAGGCGGCCCUCUGGACGGAUACUGACGCUGGAGGCGACGAAGAGCGUGGGGAUCAAACAGG